AGCUUUGUGCAGUGGCAGUAUCGUAGCCAAUUAGGUUUAUCUGAGGCACCAUUACUGCUAAUUGAAAACAUUUCCCCAAUACCCCUCCAUGAUGACUUGAAAUAUAGUUGGCACUGGCAAUUUUUGACAGUCUCUAUGGAGA
ensembl:snRNA U4 U4 spliceosomal RNA